CCUCCUUUUUCUUUCCUUUCUUUGCCUCCUCUUUUUCUUCUUCUUCUUCUUGUUCCUCUUCAUCUUGUCCCUUGUUUUUCUCAUCAUCCUUUGUCCCUUCUCCCCCUCCUCCUCCUGCUUCUUCUUCUUCUUCUUCUUCUUCUUCUUCUUCUUCUUCUUCUUCUUCUUCUUCAAGCUUCUUCUUGGAGUUGGCAUCAUUGUCAUCCUUAUUGUCAGAUGUAGAUAUAUAUGAUUCGAACCUCAUGUUGGAUGAGUCAAAAUCAUAAAACACUGCUCCAUG
rnacentral:lncRNA from 1 species